rnacentral:rRNA from 1 species
AGAGUUUGAUCCUGGCUCAGAAUGAACGCUGGCGGCGUGCCUAACACAUGCAAGUCGUGCGCGAAAGUCGACUUCGGUCGGCGAGUAGAGCGGCGAACGGGUGAGUAACACGUGGGUAACCUGCCUGGGAGCGGGGGAUAACCUGGGGAAACUCGGGCUAAUACCGCAUACGUUCAAGGUGCUUCGGCACUUUGAGGAAAGCUGGCCUAUACUUGUAAGCCAGCACUCUCAGAGGGACCCGCGUCCGAUUAGCUUGUUGGUGGGGUAACGGCCCACCAAGGCUGCAAUCGGUAGCCGGCCUGAGAGGGCGAUCGGCCACACUGGGACUGAGACACGGCCCAGACUCCUACGGGAGGCAGCAGUGGGGAAUAUUGGACAAUGGGCGCAAGCCUGAUCCAGCAACGCCGCGUGGAGGACGAAGGCCUUCGGGUCGUAAACUCCUGUCAGUUGGGAAGAAAAGCUGUUGUUUAAUAGACAGCAGCCAUGACGUACCAGCAGAGAAGCCCCGCUAACU